CAAUUGCUUAUAACCUUUUGGUUAUAAAUAGUUGUUAGUGGCAGACGGGUGAGUAAUGCGUAGGAAUCUACCUAGUAGUAUGGAAUAGCCAUUAGAAAUGAUGGGUAAUACUGUAUAAUCCCCGCGGGGGAAAGAUUUAUCGCUAUUAGAUGAGCCUAUGUUAGAUUAGCUAGUUGGUGGGGUAAUGGCCUACCAAGGCGAUGAUCUAUAGCUGGUCUGAGAGGAUGAUCAGCCACACUGGAACUGAGAUACGGUCCAGACUCCUACGGGAGGCAGCAGUGGGGAAUAUUGGACAAUGGGCGAAAGCCUGAUCCAGCUAUGCCGCGUGAGUGAGGAAGGCCCUAGGGUUGUAAAACUCUUUCAGUAGGGAAGAUAAUGACGGUACCUAUAGAAGAAGUCCCGGCAAACUG
rnacentral:rRNA from 1 species